AAGAGGGCUUCCCUCUGCUUGUUUCAGAUGUCAUCUUUCUUCUGCUGGUUCCAUGUUUUCAAGAGUAUGACUGUGGGAGACACUCCACUAGUAAUGAUUAGAGAGUCACAGCCCUUGGAGGUGAAAAGAGUUUCAAAUGAAUCGAAGGAACGUAGAGGGGAAACUGAACGAAGGGAACCGCCUGGAAGUGGAGAGGAGGAGAGGAAGCUCCUGCGUCACCAUGGGACAGAGAGUGUGUGUUCAGUCCACGGAGGUCAGACUCUGAGCUCAACUGCCUUGCCCUCUUCUCACUCGGGACUGAGACUCCCUUAUGCAAUUCUUUCUUCAAAUGAUGUUAUGUGUGUGAACGCAGAAUUGAAAAAAAUAAAUAAAUAAAUAAAAAGAGUGAGAAGGAGAGGGAAAUAGGUUGAUCGAAAAAGGGUGAGACAGGGAGAUAAAUAGACGAGCCGGAGGGGGGAACAGGCUUGAACUUUCUCUGCCCUGGUGAUAAGAAGUGAAGUGGACAAGGUGGAGGAACACGAAGUUCACACAUUGAACACCUUCCCCUCGUUGGCAGCAGGCAAGUCAUAUACCGUGACAUUUAGCCUUGUGCUGGGUCUGAAUUCAAAGCACUUAUUGGCACAGUGUAAAAUAUAGUACUAUUUAAUACAAUUAUACAUAAUUCAUGUGCUUCAGAUUGCUGGGAAUAAGUGUAAAGGUUGUUGAUUGUGCCACAACCUUAGUACUUUAAGUGUUGGGAGAAAAUAUCAUUGCUAAACAAAAUACUUCCCAGUUCUUUUAUGUCGUAUAAUA